rnacentral:rRNA from 1 species
AGAGUUUGAUCCUGGCUCAAGACGAACGCUGGCGGCGUGCCUCAUACAUGCAAGUCGAGCGGUCUUUAAGUGUACUUGUAUACUUAAAGAUAGCGGCGGACGGGUGAGUAACACGUGGGUAACCUGCCCUUAAGAGUGGAAUAACGUUUCGAAAGGAACGCUAAUACCGCAUAAUACGGAAACGUCUCAUGACGAUUCCGGGAAAGGAAGCAAUUCCGCUUAUGGAUGGGCCCGCGUCCUAUUAGCUAGUUGGUAGGGUAAUAGCCUACCAAGGCAACGAUAGGUAGCCGACCUGAGAGGGUGACCGGCCACACUGGAACUGAGAACGGUCCAGACUCCUACGGGAGGCAGCAGUAGGGAAUAUUCCGCAAUGGGCGCAAGCCUGACGGAGCAACGCCGCGUGAGUGAAGAAGGUUUUCGGAUCGUAAAGCUCUGUCCUCGGUGACGAAACCAGACGGUAGCCGAGAAGGAAGCCACGGCAAACUACGUGCCAGCAGCCGCGGUAAUACGUAGGUGGCGAGCGUUGUCCGGAAUAACUGGGCGUAAAGGGCAUGCAGACGGUAUAUCAAGCCAAAUGUGAAAAGUAAGGGCUCAACCCUUACCCUGCGUUUGUAACUGAUAAACUUGAGUACAGGAGAGGCAAAUGGAAUUCCCAGUGUAGCAGUGAAAUGCGUAGAGAUUGGGAGGAACACCAGUGGCGAAGGCGAUUUGCUGGUCUGUAACUGACGUUGAGAUGCGAAAGCCAGGGGAGCAAACGGGAUUAGAUACCCCGGUAGUCCUGGCCGUAAACGAUGGAUACUAGGUGUAGGAGGUAUCGACCCCUUCUGUGCCGUAGUGAACGCAAUAAGUAUCCCGCCUGGGUAGUACGGUCGCAAGACUGAAACUCAAAGGAAUUGACGGGGGCCCGCACAAGCAGUGGAGCAUGUGGUUUAAUUCGACGCAACCCGAAGAACCUUACCAGGUUUUGACAUUUAUGGAAUUCUGUAGAGAUACGGAAGUGCCUGUUCGCAGGAAUCAUAAAACAGGUGGUGCAUGGUUGUCGUCAGCUCGCGUCGUGAGAUGUUGGGUUAAGUCCCGCAACGAGCGCAACCCUUGAUAACAGUUGCCAUCAGGUAGUGCUGGGCACUUUGUUGUGACUGCCGUAGAUAAUACGGAGGAAGGUGGGGAUGACGUCAAAUCAUCAUGCCCUAUAUGACCUGGGCUACACACGUGCUACAAUGGGAUGAACAACGGGAAGCCAACCGGCGACGGUGAGCGGAUCCCUUAAAACAUUUCUCAGUUCGGAUUGCAGGCUGAAAUUCGCCUGCAUGAAGCAGGAAUUGCUAGUAAUCGCGGAUCAGAAAGCCGCGGUGAAUACGUUCCCGGGCCUUGUACACACCGCCCGUCA